rnacentral:rRNA from 1 species
UACGAAGGGGGCUAGCGUUGCUCGGAAUCACUGGGCGUAACGCGCACGUAGGCGGACUCUUAAGUCGGGGGUGAAAUCCUGGAGCUCAACUCCAGAACUGCCUUCGAUACUGGAGAGCUUGAGUCCGGGAGAGGUGAGUGGAACUGCGAGUGUAGAGGUGAAAUUCGUAGAUAUUCGCAAGAACACCAGUGGCGAAGGCGGCUCACUGGCCCGGUACUGACGCUGAGGUGCGAAAGCGUGGGGAGCAAACAGG